AGAGGAAUUAUUGGGUUAUAUGGUAACCCUGUUUAACUUUUUGAGUAACUGUCAUACUGUUUUCCAAAGUGGCUGCACCAUUUUACAUACCUCCCAGUAGU
rnacentral:pre_miRNA from 1 species